rnacentral:misc_RNA from 1 species
GAACUGACUCCACGACGGAGCCGCCGCCAUGUUUUUCCUGCAAGUUCAUUCAGUGGACACCGAUCACCCUCUCAACAUCGGAAUUUCGCCGGACGAAUCCUCAACCACCAGCACCAUUUCUCAACGAAACAGUACAGCUUCUCACGCCCACCCGAAAUUUAGUGAACGAAGAGGUAUCGUUCACUUAUUCCGAAGCAUUUCGAACUCAUCGCUCCCGAACCCUAGCUCUCAAUCCACGAUCCUCUUUGUUGUUGCUGUUCCGAACUAUCUUUCAUA